GAACGGGAUGCUUAGGCAUCUAGUGGCGGACGGGUGAGUAACGCGUGAGAAUCUGGCUCCAGGUCGGGGAUAACAGUUGGAAACGACUGCUAAUACCGGAUGUGCCGAGAGGUGAAAGAUUUAUUGCCUGGAGAUGAGCUCGCGUCUGAUUAGCUAGUUGGUGGUGUAAGGGACCACCAAGGCGUCGAUCAGUAGCUGGUCUGAGAGGAUGAUCAGCCACACUGGGACUGAGACACGGCCCAGACUCCUACGGGAGGCAGCAGUGGGGAAUUUUCCGCAAUGGGCGAAAGCCUGACGGAGCAAUACCGCGUGAGGGAGGAAGGCUCUUGGGUCGUAAACCUCUUUUCUCAAGGAAGAAGAAAGUGACGGUACUUGAGGAAUAAGCAUCGGCUAACUCCGUGCCAGCAGCCGCGGUAAUACGGAGGAUGCAAGCGUUAUCCGGAAUGAUUGGGCGUAAAGGGUCUGCAGGUGGAACUGAAAGUCUGCUGUUAAAGAGUUUGGCUUAACCAAAUAAAAGCGGUGGAAACUACAGAACUAGAGUGCGGUAGGGGCAAAAGGAAUUCCUGGUGUAUCGGUGAAAUGCGUAGAUAUCAGGAAGAACACCGGUGGCGAAAGCGUUUUGCUAGACCGUAACUGACACUGAGGGACGAAAGCUAGGGGAGCGAAUGGGAUUAGAUACCCCAGUAGUCCUAGCCGUAAACGAUGGAUACUAGGCGUGGCUUGUAUCGACCCGAGCCGUGCCGGAGCUAACGCGUUAAGUAUCCCGCCUGGGGAGUACGCACGCAAGUGUGAAACUCAAAGGAAUUGACGGGGGCCCGCACAAGCGGUGGAGUAUGUGGUUUAAUUCGAUGCAACGCGAAGAACCUUACCAAGACUUGACAUCCUGCGAAUCCUGGUGAAAGCUGGGAGUGCCUUAGGGAGCGCAGAGACAGGUGGUGCAUGGCUGUCGUCAGCUCGUGUCGUGAGAUGUUGGGUUAAGUCCCGCAACGAGCGCAACCCUCGUUUUUAGUUGCCAGCAUUAAGUUGGGCACUCUAGAGAGACUGCCGGUGACAAACCGGAGGAAGGUGAGGAUGACGUCAAGUCAGCAUGCCCCUUACGUCUUGGGCUACACACGUACUACAAUGCUACGGACAGAGGGCAGCGAGCCAGGGAUGGCAAGCGAAUCCAGAAACCGUAGCUCAGUUCAGAUCGAAGGCUGCAACUCGCCUUCGUGAAGGAGGAAUCGCUAGUAAUUGCAGGUCAGCAUACUGCAGUGAAUUCGUUCCCGGGCCUUGUACACACCGCCCGUCACACCAUGGAAGUUGGUCACGCCCGAAGUCAUUACCCCAACCGAAAGGAGGGGGAUGCCUAAGG
rnacentral:rRNA from 1 species